CAGUCGACGAGUUCUCGUUGAUGAUCGGUGCUUGCACCGAGAUUCAACAUCGAACGAGUGGCGGACGGGUGAGUAACACGUGGGUAACCUGCCCUUAAGUGGGGGAUAACAUUUGGAAACAGAUGCUAAUACCGCAUAGAUCCAAGAACCGCAUGGUUCUUGGCUGAAAGAUGGCGUAAGCUAUCGCUUUUGGAUGGACCCGCGGCGUAUUAGCUAGUUGGUGAGGUAAUGGCUCACCAAGGCGAUGAUACGUAGCCGAACUGAGAGGUUGAUCGGCCACAUUGGGACUGAGACACGGCCCAAACUCCUACGGGAGGCAGCAGUAGGGAAUCUUCCACAAUGGACGCAAGUCUGAUGGAGCAACGCCGCGUGAGUGAAGAAGGCUUUCGGGUCGUAAAACUCUGUUGUUGGAGAAGAAUGGUCGGCAGAGUAACUGUUGUCGGCGUGACGGUAUCCAACCAGAAAGCCACGGCUAACUACGUGCCAGCAGCCGCGGUAAUACGUAGGUGGCAAGCGUUAUCCGGAUUUAUUGGGCGUAAAGCGAGCGCAGGCGGUUUUUUAAGUCUGAUGUGAAAGCCCUCGGCUUAACCGAGGAAGCGCAUCGGAAACUGGGAAACUUGAGUGCAGAAGAGGACAGUGGAACUCCAUGUGUAGCGGUGAAAUGCGUAGAUAUAUGGAAGAACACCAGUGGCGAAGGCGGCUGUCUGGUCUGUAACUGACGCUGAGGCUCGAAAGCAUGGGUAGCGAACAGGAUUAGAUACCCUGGUAGUCCAUGCCGUAAACGAUGAAUGCUAGGUGUUGGAGGGUUUCCGCCCUUCAGUGCCGCAGCUAACGCAUUAAGCAUUCCGCCUGGGGAGUACGACCGCAAGGUUGAAACUCAAAGGAAUUGACGGGCGCCCGCACAAGCGGUGGAGCAUGUGGUUUAAU
rnacentral:rRNA from 1 species